rnacentral:rRNA from 1 species
UACAGAGGUGGCAAGCGUUGUUCGGAAUUACUGGGCGUAAAGGGCGCGUAGGCGGCCUUCUAAGUCAGACGUGAAAUCCCCCGGCUUAACCUGGGAACUGCGUCUGAUACUGGGAGGCUUGAGUAUGGGAGAGGGUAGUGGAAUUCCUGGUGUAGCGGUGAAAUGCGUAGAUAUCAGGAGGAACACCCAUGGCGAAGGCAGCUACCUGGCCUAAGAUUGACGCUGAGGUGCGAAAUCGUGGGGAGCAAACGGG